UCAUGAACAACGCAAAAAACCAACGUUCCUGCAAAAAGCGUUCCUACGAGGUAGCCUUUACAGUGCCCAUGAAGUAUGGAAAUCGUCUAAUGGAAUGGAGAUCAACCACGAUGGCCGAUCUUGGGUGCAGUGCCAGUCACAUCCUUUGGAUAUGACUGGGACUGCAAUGAUUGACCACACAU
rnacentral:sRNA from 1 species